GGGGGAUUAGCUCAGUUGGGAGAGCGCUUGCAUGGCAUGCAAGAGGUCAGCGGUUCGAACCCGCUAUCCUCCACCA
rnacentral:tRNA from 1 species